ensembl:lncRNA
UGAUCCUUAGCAUUUAUUGAAUUUGAUGAACGAUGAAGUCAUACAGUGUGACAUAAGUUAGAAAAUAAAUACCCUUGAAUAUAUCACAGACCAUGUUUUUCCUCUGACGUCUGACAAGCCCAACAUAUCAUAGUGUAAUCCUCAAUAUACAAUGUGAAAAAAUGACAAACAUUGGAAAGUAGGCAAAUGGAUUACUUAUAAUACAAAUAUAAAAAGCAGGGGUGUAUUCUAUGAGGUUAAACAUUAACAACAUUUCAGGUAGAAAUGUAACGAUUAGAGCUGACAGGACUCAGUUCUACAUGACAAACAUACCUGAUCUAGACAAAACAUUUUUAUAUAUCUAUAAUAUUAUCUUUCUAUAAUGUUUUCUAUGUUUCUCUCUGUAUUGUUGGUGAAGGGCCCAUCAGGAAGCAUUUCACUGUUAGUCUACAGCUGUUGUUGACCAAGCAUGUGACAAAUUUACAUUAGAUUGGAUUUUGAUUUAACAGACCCCAGGAGUUAACGGUCUCUCUUGUCUCUGAGAUGCUCGGUCACAUUCCCAUAGCGUCCAAUGGGUUUUCUAUCGGUUGUUAUAGAUAUCUUAUAGGAUCACAUUUCUUAUAUAGAUGCACAAUGGUAGCAUGCUAAAAGGCACCCUUGAUCACCAGGGGCCAUAGGACUCUAGUGCACUACUUUUGAUCACCAGGGGCUAUAGGACUCUAGUGCACUACUUUUGACCACCAGGGGCCAUAGGACUCUCGUGCACUACUUUUGACCACCAGGGGCUAUAGGACUCUAGUGCACUACUUUUGAUCACCAGGGGCCAUAGGACUCUAGUGCACUACUUUUGACCACCAGGGGCCAUAGGACUCUCGUGCACUACUUUUGACCACCAGGGGCCAUAGGACUCUAGUGCACUACUUUUGACCACCAGGGGCCAUAGGACUCUGGUCAAAAGUAGUGCACUAUAGAGGGAAUAGGGUGCCAUUUCAGACACAAAUAAUGUUUGACGGACAGACGGUAAGAGAAACAUGUAUCAAUCACACAUCUACCAAUCACAUCACUGCCUGUCAUCAAACAGGAACUAGUCACCUCUCAUCACCAUUCUAACACGCUGACUAGAAUGGGCGCGUGCCUCAGGACACGCAGGUUGAAAUAUCAAAACGAAUUCAGAACCAACGACAUCAUUUUUGGGGACAUGUCGAAAAGCAUUAAACAUAUAUGCCAAUUUAGCUAGCUUGCUGUUGCUAGAUCAUUUGUCCUGGGAUAUAAACAUUUGGUUGUUAUUUUACCUGAAAUGCACAAGGUCCUCUACUCAGACAAUGGAUCCACAGAUAAAACGGUCAACCGAGUUUGUUUCUACUAAUCUCUCCUCCUUCAGGCUUCUUAUUCUUCUUUGGACUUUAUAUGGGGGUUGGCAACCAACUUUAAGGUGCAUUACCACCACCGACUGGAGUGUGGACCUCAGUUCAUCUUUCAAUCACCCACGUGGGUAUAUGAUCCUAAAUACCAAUGAGAAGAUGGUAGAGGCGGGACUUGCAGCGCAUCAAAGCGUCACAAAUGGAACCAAGAUCUAUUUUAGCGCCUGGCUACGCAGACGCUCGUUGACGCGCGUAUGCAGUGUGUCUGCAAUGAUUGAAUAACAUGUAUGUGUACAUUUAUUUUGUAACGCUCGCACACGCUCGCUCAGCAUGGUAGUAAAGAGAGGUUUGAACGUAUAGCCUGGUCACAGGUUUGUUUGUGCUGUAUAGCCAACUCCUAUGAUUGUUGUCAUUGGUCAUUGCCGUGUUUGGCCUGACAAUGAGCAUUUAGUUGGCUCAACAGCGCAAACAGAUCUGAGACCAGGCUAGUUUGAACAUGGAGUGAUGUUAAUACUUACAUCAGAACUGAUCAGAUUCAGUACAUAGUGUUGCCAUACUGUAGCAAGCACCAAUCAGAACGCACGUUUGGUCUGAGAUGAAAACAUUUCUUUAGCAUAUAAUAAAAAAUGUCUAAAAUACAUUCAAAAUAAAGGAAAAUGUUUGAUAUAGAAGCCUUUGGUUUAGAUGAAAGCAAGGGUUUUCUUUAAAAGAUGCAACCGCUAUUAUAAUUGAUCUACAGUUUGGAAAGGUUUUAAAGCUCAUGCAGUCUUCUGUUAACCAUGCAGUUUUUGGUUGCCAUAUAGAGAUAUGUAUUCAUUAUCUAUACAUUAUCAGUUGGUUUUCAGUGAUGGAAGUUUGGAAACUCUCUUAAAUGGUGUGGUUUGUUUGGAUGGGUUUUCCCAUGUUUCUUUAAAUUAAAUAAAAAGACUAUCCAUACAUCUUGAUGCUAACAGAGUUGUUUGUUGUCCGGUACAGUAAAUUGUCAGUACAGUAAAUUGACAGUACAGUAAAUUGACAGUACAGUAAAUUGACAGUAUAGUGAAUUGUCAGUACAGUAAAUUGACAGUACAGUAAAUUGACAGUACAGUAAAUUGUCAGUACAGUAAAUUGACAGUACAGUAAAUUGUCAGUACAGUAAAUUGUCAGUACAGUAAAUUGACAGUACAGUAAAUUGACAGUAUAGUGAAUUGUCAGUACAGUAAAUUGACAGUACAGUAAAUUGACAGUAUAGUGAAUUGUCAGUACAGUAAAUUGACAGUACAGUAAAUUGACAGUAUAGUGAAUUGUCAGUACAGUAAAUUGUCAGUACAGUAAAUUGACAGUAUAGUGAAUUGUCAGUUCAGUAAAUUGACAGUACAGUAAAUUGACAGUAUAGUGAAUUGUCAGUGCAGUAAAUUGACAGUACAGUAAAUUGACAGUAUAGUGAAUUGUCAGUGCAGUGAAUUGUCAGUGCAGUAAAUUGUCAGUACAGUAAAUUGUCAGUACAGUAAAUUGUCAGUAUAGUGAAUUGUCAGUGCAGUGAAUUGUCAGUACAGUAAAUUGUCAGUACAGUAAAUUGAUAACAAUAGUACUUCAGUUUAAUCAUCAUGGCUUGGCAAAGGAACACAUUAUUAUUGUCUUUAAUGUUUCAGGAUAUUCUGUCAUGUUCUUCCUAAAUACAACCCACUGGUUGAAUCAUCAUUGUUUCCACGUAAUUUCAAUGAAAUGACUUUGAACCAAUGUAGAAUAGACCUUGAAUUGACGUCUGUGCCCAGUGGGAAUCAAUCGUAGUAUAGUGACAAAGAGAAACAAAAAAUAAGAUACACAAUAAAAAACAUAGAUAUCAUUGGUUUUGACAUGUUGCUCUAUAAAGUUGCUUGCAAUACUCUAUUUGACAGUGUUUCUUUCUUCGUUUUAGAUAUAGUUUACUUUUACUUGAGUUUCUCUGAAUGGUAUUUUUAAUAGACCUCACUCAUUUUUCUUUUGAAUAGCAUACAUUAUACAAACAAACCUAUAUAGGCACCAUCUCAGACUCUCGUUCUCACUAAAUUCACACUAAAUACACAGCCCUUCAAUCCUGUGGGAGGGUGCUACCGGCUACUUUGCUCUGUUUGUCAACACAACUCCCUUGCUGGAAAACUACUCCAGGUAAACCUAUGAGGUUGACGGGGAUUGGAUGGCCACUGUACAAUACCUAUAUUUGGCCUUUUCAUAGGUUUUCUAUGCUUAGUGUUAGGACAGGGUCAUGUUCAUUAGGCACCAAAUAGAAUAACCCGCUCUAAACCCGGAGUGAAAUGUGGAGAUUGACUGGGGAUUGACUCUCUGUCCAAUAAGAAACUCAAAAUGUUUUCUUUGCAAAAUGUUUUAAAAACGUUUUCCCUAAUGAACAUGACCCAGAUGUUAACUUUGAUCUUUAACCUUUAACCCCACUGACCUUCAUGAAAUCAAAGAAUACAACAAACAACAUACACAGACAGCCAUGUUGUAAAUAUCGGUAAAGAGAUCGAGACCAUCUGUCUUCUCCAUAUCUUUUUAAAAUAGAUGAAUGAAUAUCUUAUUUUACAAAAGUUUCUAAGAAACAGGUACCUGUAAUUCUAUUGCUAUAAGAAUGCACUGUUUUUUAUUGUUUUUUUAUAGAAUAGUUAAAUGCAUAGCACCAUGCAUAGAUUGCCCUCACGGCAAGAGCAAUGGAUGUACUGGUAUCAUGACGUGAGGGGUUUCGCAUGGGUUCCCUCAAACUUGGAUGUCACUAGCUACCACAGCCACAAAUUCAAAGGUUUAGCCAUACUUAUGAUUAUGUGACUGGGGUAACUAGUGACGGCCCUCAACCUCACUGUGAACUGUUGCAUCAUGGGUAUUUGGUGGAACAGGACAUAUUUUGUCCAACCACUCUUCUGGGCCAUAAGAGAAACCACAUAUGGUAAAAACACAUCAUUUACCUGAUGGUCAGCUAGCUACUGUACAUGGUAGAUAUACUUCUUAUGUAUAAACCCACUUCAACCACUCCAGUACCCCUGCACAUUGAAUAAGGUAUUGGCAGUGGCCUGUAUAUACUUGCAUUCUCUUGUUUCUUUAACUCACAUCGUAGUUCUUGUGUGGAUUAUUAUUUAAAUGUUUCAUUCUAUUAGUAUCUACUGUAUCUAUUAUUAUUAUCACUGUGUUAUUGGGAAAUUGCUAUCAAGGGGAGAAUGUUACUAUACUGUUGUACAGCGGUUGUAUCUUGUCAAAGUGGCAGAUAAACGUUGACACUUGAGAUGGGAUAGCCACUUUGUAUUGGCUGUAUUUGGGAGAUUCCGUGUCUGUUCUUAAGACGUGAUGACAUUCUCUUGGUCAGAAACCCUGAAAAUCCCUGACACAGAAGUAACACUUAUUGUAUAUAUUGAACUGAUAUGUGAACUGAAGUGACAUCUACGAAGGCUCUCUGCUAGACAGACACAUUCUAAGUAUGCAGCCUUUUCGCCAAACAAUGUGUACAUUAGCCUGCUUUGCCAAACAAUGUGUACAUUAGCCUGCUUUGCCAAACAAUGUGUACAUUAGCCUGCUUUGCCAGCUUGCUGUUAGUCCACUAAGACCCUUGUCACACUGUCGUGGAGACCCGAAAGGAAACACGGUCCAGUCCUUUUCCUCCAGGUAACAUCCAGUCAUAAAUCUUUAGCUAUGUUGAUGUGUGGGCGUCAUUACGUCUGUUGUGUGUCAUCCCUCGACUUCAGUGGCACAAACUGGAGUGAUACCAGUGUCAUGCCUUGAUUCUAAAUGGAUUUGGAUUAUGACAGCCAAACUGUUGCUUAAACAACAUAACAGCCUUCACAAAGCAUCCGUAAGCUUUGCUGAAAGCUGGAAGACACAAUGAUGAAAUACAAUAUGUAGAUAUUGAGCAAAUUGUACUAGCAAAGACUGUGGAGCCUUUUAUCAUUUGCUUAUAAUGCCCAGGCUGGAAAAAAAAAAUCAACUUAAAAGUCCCUGGGUACUUCAUUGUCUUUCUGCGACAGAUACACACAGAAAUAUAAUUACUAGAAUGGGCAUUUCUCAUCAAUGAAGUGUGGCACACUUUUCAGGCAAUCACAGAUAUAAUUGGACAGGAUAGUUCCAUGACGUCAUAGCAAGAUAGUUCUAUGACGUCAGAGCAGGAUAGUUCUAUGACGUCAUAGCAGUGGUGUAAAGUACUACUUAAGUCGUUUUUUUGGGGGGUAUCUGUACUUUAUUUGACUAUUUAUAUUUUUGGACUACUUUUACUUUAACUUCACUACAUUCCUAAAGAUGUACUUUUUACAUACAUUUUCCCUGACACCCAAAAGUACUCGUUACAUUUUGAAUGCUUAGCAGGACAGAAAUGGUCCAAUUCACGUACUUCUUAAGGGGAACAUCCCUGGUCACAUCUCGACUGCCUUUGACCUGGCGAAAUCACUAAACACAAAUGCUUUGUUUCUGAAUGAUGUCUGAGUGUUGGACUGUGCCCCUGGCUAUCUGUAAAUUUAAAAAAACAUGAACAAUUGUGCCAUCUGGUUUUCUUAAUAUAAGUAAUUUUUUAUCAUUUAUACUUUUACUUUUGAUACUUAAGUACAUUUAUAACCAAAUAGUUUUAGACUUUUACUCAAGUAUUAUUUUACUGGGUGACUUUCACUUUUGCUUGAGUAAUUUCCUGUUAAGGUUUCUUGACUUUUACUCAAGUAUGACUACUGGGUACUUUUUCCACCACUGUGUAAUAGUAUCAAACCUGCAUUGCUUCUCAACUGUCACACCAAAGAAUCCAAAUGGUUACCCUGCGCCUCAGAAACUGCUGCCCUAUCUACAUAGUCAUGGAACACUGGUCACUUUAAUCAUGUCUAUACACACCAUUCUGUAUAACUACUACUGUACACACCUUUUCUAUUCAUAUACUGUCUAUACACACCAUUGCUAGGUAAUAUUGCACUGUUGGCGAUAGAAACAUAAACAUUUCGCUGCACCUGCGAUAACGUUUGCUAAAUAUGUGUACGUGACCAAUACAAUUUGAUUUGAUUUGAAACCAAACCACUUGUAUUAACAUGUUUUUCGAGAAUCAGCCAGUCUAUAUCAUUAUGCUCUGGUCUACUCUGCUACUACAGAUGUAGGAUCUUAAUUUGAGCUCGUUUUCUACAGCAGGAAAUAAUUUUGCAGCAUCAGGAAAUGUGGAUUAUAAUUCAUUGGCAUUUUUUGUCAGGGUUGAUACAUUUUACAUUAGGGCAAAUCAAAUUUGACAUUUUUCAAGCAGAAAUUACGAACUUUAAAAGCCUUUUUAAACCUUGAAUACACCACAAGUUUGCAUUUCCUGCCAUGCAGGAAAAUUAUCAUCAACAAAAGAUGGAUCAAAUUAAGAUCCUACAUUUGUAUAGAAAUGUUUGUUUCUUUUCUUUUUUGAUUAUGCAUAGCUUGGAAGGAAAAGGGAUAGGGUUAAGGGUGCUAGAGUAUAUUUUAAGUGCUUCUAACAAUUCAGCAUCUGGGCCUGUAAUCACAAAGUGUCUCAGAGUAGGAGCGCAGCUCAAGGAUCAGAUUAGCCUUUUAGACCAGAAUGAAUAAGAUUACAAGGACAUUGGGAGACCUGAUCUUAGAUAUGCGCUCCUACUCUGAGGCACUUUGUAAGUGCAGGCCCUGAUGACCACAGCCUAGUCCACUAAAAGGCCAUUGUUCAUGUUGUGGAAGAAGUAAGCUCUGCUCUGCAUCGAUAUAGCCUGCUUUGCAGCUCUGCCUGGCUAGGAGUCGGGCUUCAGUUCUGCAGUGAGUUCUGCAGUAACCUCACUGAGGUAGACACGCAAGACUUAUGGCACAUAAAUCAAUAGCAACAAUGCAAUGCAAAGCAAAUGCAAAGCAAUGGAUAUUCCCUUUGGAUUUGAAGUGGUGCAUGGGUGAAGAAACAUAAAGCACAGGAGGAUGGUUGGUUCCAGGAAGAGUAUAAGUGCAUCAUGAGGACAACAAUGUUGAGUUGUUCUAGAAUCUUGUUCUAGAAUCUUGGGUAAACUCAAUCCUGGGUCAUUUUGGUAAUGGACUUCCAUGGUUGUUUUCACUGAACAUUCUCUCACUGUAUUAAUAACCAUCAUCAUCAUCCACAUCAAUAACAGCAUUAAUAACCAUUAAUAACAGCAUAUUGCGGAAACAAGAUCUUUUGCACCUGAUCUGUUCAACAUGUAUUUAUGUUGUAGGCUAUAUACACAGAGGCACUUUCACUGAACCUGUUGCAUGGUGAGAGGGGUAAAGGCACUAGCAACUAAAGUGCAAAAUAAUGAUUUGCAAUAUUUAUUAAACAAACGCUAAUUUCAUUCAAAUUAGAGCUAUUUCGAUUGUUUUGUUUGUGAAAAUAAACAAACGUCCCUAAAUUUAGUGGUGAAAUGGAAGACAUGACUCAUAAUAUGUUUACUGUUUCU